CCGGUGGCGGGUGCGGGGGGCCAGGUCCCGGUGCCCUGCCCCCUGCCAACACCUACGCUAGCAUUGACUUCUUGUCCCACCACUUGAAGGAGGCCACCAUCGUGAAAGAGUGAAGAUCUGUCUGGCUUUAUGACCAGGAUGUCACACGUCAGAGAAUGUCAUUAAAAGAAGAUGCUCAGCAUUGUUUCAGCCCGAAGCUGCUUACAGUUUUCUUUUGGAUCUGAGCAAUGACUAUGUUUGGAAACAUCUGUGGACUCUGUUAGAUGAGGCACCAACAAGGCAAGGUCACCUGCCUCUCUCCCUUGUUCCCAGAUGGGGCAUUCGUCAUUGUGCUGUUUGCGUUUUGUUUUGUUUUGUUUUGUUUUGUUUUAACAAAAUUAGCUGAAGAAGUUAUUCUCAAGAAAAUUGGAUGUUUUCAUUGGCCUUCUUAAAUUGUGGCCGGUGUCUUAAUUUCUUCUUUUCCUUUUGGCAAAGCAGAUGUAACCCUCAGCAUGCUAGGAGAGUGCACCCACACCUAUGAAAGUGGUAAAAUCUGGUAUUUACUGGCUUACACUCAAAACGACCACAGUCCUACCUCAGUUCAAGGUAAAGCCGGAUUUCCGUGGCGGGGUCCAGCAGGACCUCCUGUAGUAGCCCCUGCGCUGUGUGUCUGGAGCGCGGUCCUCGGCCUCAGUGAAAUGGUCCAAGUAGACAGCUGCUGGUUGGAUUCCAGUGCAGGCACCUGCCAUGUUUACGUCCACACCGAGCCCAGUGUGGGACUGACAUUUCUCGAUGGAAGUGAAAUUUGGGAUUGGACUUUAAAGAUGGAUUACAAAAUAAUAAUUACUAUAUGUAACUGAAGCAACCUACUUUUGAAACAAAUCAGCUGUAUUGGGUAGUGGGGGGGUGGGAGGGAAGGGCUUUGGGAAGGGGAUGAGUAUCUCUUUUUACCUUUAACAGACUUGUUUAAUCUUCUCGAUGUAGAUGUUUAUGUAGGUACUUCACAUUGCAAACGCCUUUUAUUCUAUUUACAAGCUCAGAUGUCUCUGCUCUCCUGAAUCUUGGGCAUGCCUUUCUGUAACCAAAAAUCCCUGUAGGUGUGCUAGCAAUUCCAGGGUGGUCCGGGUGUGGCAGAUUUAAUUUUUUAAAAAAUGUAUUAUCUUUAAUAAAAUGUUAUUAUGUCAACCAGUGAGGCUGCCCUGAACAAAAAACGAAAAGAAAAAAAGAAAAGGAAAGAAAGAAACUGAUAAAAAGAGGCAUUCCAGCCCCUAUGUUGCUGAUGGAAAAAGAAAAAGAAGAAAAGCAAUCUCGCAGUACAUGUUACUUGUCGAAAAAAUUCCUGACAAGACUACCCUUGUUUUAUGUUUUCAGUAUUCUGAAAAUACCAGUGUUGUGGCAGUUCUCGCAGACGUUACCUAAAACUGCUGAACUUGACCGGCAGAAUGAUCUGCCGUUUUCUGCUCCCUCGACACUCAAUUGGAGGGCUGUCGACCUCUCCUCCCGUGGGGGCUUCCCCAGUGCCUAUCUUCUCUGAUAGUCAUGGAGAGGUUACACUAAUUCAUUGGAGAUGUAAGUUGUUGGUUUCGUUUUGUUUUUUUUUGAGAAAAAUAUAUAUAAAUAUAUAGAUAUAUAUCACUAUAGAAUAAUGCAUUAAUAAAAUGAGGCUUUUUUAGAGGAAGACCAAAAAUUUCAAUGUCUUAAAAAUAUAUUUAAUGGCAAUGCAAAAGUCUUCCUGCUUCCGUGCUGAACUUUAGAACAGAGGAUUGUAUUGCAAGACAAAGUUGAAUGUAAAGUGAUCUCCCUGAACAUUUUUAAGGUUUUACUUUUCUGAAAUUAUACAUCACAGCAGCGCCUAGGCCAUACAAUGUUAGCUGGAAGGUCAAUUUCAGUGUAUGAUGUACUUUAUUAAGAUGUAUAAAACAUCCUGAAGUUUUUAUUUAGUUUUGGGAAUAGGCAUCGAUGGGUGAUAUUUGCUUUGUAACUCCCCCCAGGUACGAUAGGGACUGAAUAUGGACCCUGCUGAAUGCAGUGUAUUGACGCAUAUUUAACUCGCCCUCUCUCCUUAGAGUAGUCAUGACACUAUACAGAUGGUUCAUGUUCAUACUGCAGCUUAAAACAAGCAAAAUACACAGAUGAUAAUAUACUAAAUUUUCCUCUAUCCUGUACAUUUCAAAAAAAGGCAUAUGCAAUAUUUACAUUUUUAAUUUAGUUUACAGAAUGGAACCAAAAUGUAUAAAUGUUAUGUUUGCUAAAACUUCACAAUGUAUAUUGGGUCUUUGUACAUUUUGCCUGACUUACCUUAAAUUUAAAAUAUUUUUUGCUAUAUAAACUUUAACAGUUAUUAAACAGUGUUUUCUUUUUGGGUACGUAUUGUUUCUGGAUAUCAAGAUGUUAAAUAUAUUUCUUGCUAUUGUGAUAUGACAAGAGACUUAUCUUGCUCUGUCUUCCACUGUACACGCUGUAUCUAGGGGUCAAUGUGAUGCUGCUGGAGGCGAGAAUAAACUGGACUAGAAUAGUGCAUUGUAUUUAGUCUGUAUUGAUCAUGGAUGCCCUCCUUAAUAGCCAUAUGCAAUAAAAUAAAGUACAUUAUUUAUGAAAUGAA